CAAUUCAAUAUAGUUUGAUUAGUGAUUAAAAGUCUUACUAUUGUUUUUAUGAUUAGUUAAGAAAUCAUUCAUUAGGUUAUUGUAUUAGUUAAAAAUUUAAUUGGUUGAUUGGGUUUAGUACUGUAAAGGAUUUGAUGUUAAUAAUUUAUUAUAAAACAAGUUGUAUUGAUUAUAUGUACCUUGUGUAUCAGGGUUAAUUAAAUAGGGGAUAUCUAAUUAUCAUUCUCGAUUUUUUUGGAGUUAAUAAUUUAUAUUUAUUAUUAUAUCAUAAAUAUAGGUAAUAGAUUGUUAGUGGUGAUAUAUCAUUCGUUGAAAAGGAUAUCUAGUUUCUUGGGAAAUUAAUUUAAUUAAGAUUUUUUUUUAAUGGUUUUAAUUAAUAGAAUACUUUAAAGGAAAAUUAUUAAUAAGAGGGAUAAGCUUUUUAUUAAAGACUUAAAAGGUAAAUUGAUUAAUACAUUUUAUAGAUUUAGAAUUGAUCAAUAAUUAAAAUAUGUUAAAAUUUUGUGUAUUAAGAGGAUUGAUUCUAUAACCUUUAACAUUUUACUAAGAUAUAUUGAUGAUUUUUGGCUUGGUAGUAAUAAUGAUAAAAUUAGUAAAAUUUUAAUUGUAAGAUAUUUUAGUGGUAAAUUAGGAUGAGGAAUUAGGCAAUAACUUAUUCGCCUGUUUAACAAAAACAUCUUUUCUUGAAUUAUUUAGGAAGUAUAACCUGCCCAAUGAUUAUAUUUAAUGGCCGCGGUACCUUGACCGUGCAAAGGUAGCAUAAUCAUUAGUCUUUUAAUUGGAGGCUGGAAUGAAUGGUUGGACGAGAUAAGUACUUUCUUAUCCUUAAGAAUUGAACUUAAUUAUUGAGUUAAAAAGCUUAAAUUUUUUUAUGGGACGAGAAGACCCUAUAGAGUUUAAUAAUUAUAAAUUGAUAAUAAUAUGUAGUGGAAUUUUAAUUAGUAACUAUUUUGUUGGGGUGAUGAAAAGAUAAAUAUAACUCUUUUUUAUUGUUAAUAUUGAUUUAUAGGCUUUUGAUCCAUUAUUAAUGAUUAGAAGACUAAAUUACCUUAGGGAUAACAGCGUAAUCUUUUCUGAGAGUUCUAAUCGAAGUUAAGGAUUGCGACCUCGAUGUUGGAUUAAAGAUUAGAAUUAGGUGUAGCAGCUUAAGUUCUAGGUCUGUUCGACCUUUAAAUUCUUACAUGAUCUGAGUUCAAACCGGCGCGAGCCAGGUUGGUUUCUAUCUAUUAGUAUAUUAAAUAUUUUAGUACGAAAGGACCAAAUAUUUAAAAUAAUUUUUAUUUUAGAAUAUUAUUAACUGACUAUUUUGGCAGAUAAGUGCAAUGGAUUUAGAAUCUAUGAAUGUAAGUUGAUAUUACAUAU
rnacentral:rRNA from 1 species